rnacentral:lncRNA from 1 species
UAUACUGAUUCGCAUUUAUGUAGCAUAAUGUGGUAGGAUAAACAUUUUAUGUAUGAUGAUGUAGAAGCCACAGUCGUUUUGUACACCAAAUUUCAAUGGCAUGGAAGAAAAUGUGUUUGGAACAUAAUAAUGAAAUAAGAAUACAUUUCAAUUGGCAUAUUUCAAGAUUAUGUUUUGCAUUGAGGAUAUGUAUUUGAAUGAUCUCGUUUUCAAUUGUUAUAGUGGUUAGUAAUAGCGAAACAGAUAUACACGUUCAGGAAAUGUACGUUUGUUUCUGAAUUGGAUUUUGUCAUUUACGAUUUGUCGUCGACCUGUUUUUAUCAAGGAUAGAGUAUACUAUAUACAUCAGAAAACAAAGCUGACAGGGCUCUCGUCAGGAUUUGUCUGACAUUUGGCUCAGUGAUCGGUUUUAUCCUUUAUAUUUUGUUAUUAUCCAGUUGGUUGGAAUCGGCCACUGUGCGAGCGAUAUAUCCGCAAUGGGGAUAAUACUUCACAACAGAACAGAAAAUAGAGACCGAAGUAUCUGUUCAGGUGCACUGGGUAUAGGCUCAGACAUCGGACUCCGAUGAGAUAUUUAUUGAUCGGUCCGAUCGUUUAAUUAGCAUUUCAUAAUCAGACUUAUUUAGCAAAUACCUCUGGGUGCUCUUGUUUUGUCUUAACUAUUACAAGGCGACAACGGUGUGUUCUCUUUAACAUUGUGUCUCUAAAUCGACAUAAAUUUUUAUAGAAAGUUUUGAUCAUUGACUUAGGUACAGAUAAGUGUUUGAGCACAGGUAUGCGUGAUGUCCAAAGCUUGAUGAUUUCAGAGCUGCCUCCUCACUGACCGGCUCUGCUCAUCUGAAACUGCGUGUUCAUUACACGAUUUAGCCAAACUACUGAACUUCUUGCCUUUCUGUUGUUCUUUUUUUUCAUUCUAAGACGUGACCACGAUGAUACCUUUAGUAUAUCCACAAUACGGUUAUCUGCCGUGUGCUGUUUGUCUAUGUGCGUGUGUCCUAUUGCCGCCUACGUGCGCUAACUGAUAUCGCCAUUGCCUUGGCCGUGACAGUCCUUACCAUCCGCAGCAGCCCCAGCGGUAACAGCGCACGCAACCAGAAUCAGGGGUUCCUGAGCCCUUGACGUCGUUCUGCUGUGUGUGGCAGUGGCCAUAACGAUGGCCACAGCCGCUGCUGUUAUCGCCCUUGUAGACCCUGGCGUGGCCAGCUAUACGGACAUCGCUGUAUUGCCAUCGAAAUCACCACAACGCAAGCGUCGAGCAUAAGCCCGAAACAACAGGACAGCCAUAUUUGGUUCUUUUUUUCUGCCAGCCACUCUCUAUACAAUCAGGAUUCGUGAUGAAAAUGACGGCCAAUUCUGCAAUGUGCCCUGUAUUUCUUACGGCUCAACCCAGUAGCGCCGGUAACCUUCAUUCAAUUUUGUCACCAGAGUUACCACUGAACCCGAGUAGAGCCUGUCGUGGUAAUCACCCCGCCAGCCGCCCCUGAUAGCACAAGAUUAGCGACGAAAGAAAGCAGGACGGUAAAUGGAAGCUACCAGCUCUAACGUAUGAUUGGACGGAUUUCAAUUUUGGAAGAAGGAUGCCACUUGGUCAUGUGGACGUAUUUUCAUUACGAUACUUCGAGACGUUGAAUGAACCUUCGGGGGGCCGGCAAAAAAAAAGAUGACGCAAUAAUAGGAAAGUCAGCUCGAUCAAUUAUUCGUCUGUAUUAGAAGUGAAACUGUUGGAACAUCACAGUGACGAUGUCGGCGCUCAAUUCCCCGCUCCGGCCCACAAAUUGAUCGCUUGGCCGUCGGCUCCGGGCCGAUCGACCAUCAGCACACGCAUGUUUGCACAGGAACAGAAACUUCAGGGUAAAGCCAGCACCAGACCUACCUACAGAUAAUGCUACGGAACUUCAAGUCAAUGAAGGCCGGUGUUGGGGUCCAAGCUUCAGGAAACGGUGUUUUUAGUUGGUUGAGCUAUUACCGGCUGAAGAUCGACGGACUGGAGUUGUAAUCUGCCAAUUCCUUUGCCACCUGUAACAGAAUGAGAAAGUAGUUUUAAAUACGUCGUGCGUGAUGUGCAAUGUUCGACGAAUGUGACGUCGUUCACCUGCUCGAAAACCGUAUAGUUAUUCUCGAUGGCGAACAGCACAGACAUUAUCUGGGCGCCCUGCAACACAAAUUCCGACAUCGACAAUAAUCGGAACAGCUAUUGCGGUAAUAUCAUGGCAAAGAAAGCUUCCAAACGCCAGCUAAAACCAGGCCAGCGUCUGGCAUCA